rnacentral:rRNA from 1 species
CAGUCGCCACGGUAAUACGAGGGGGGCAAGCGUUGUUCGGAAUUAUUGGGCGUAAAGGGUGCGUAGGCGGCCCCGCAAGUCUCAUGUGAAAUCUUCAGGCUCAACUUGAAGUCUGCAUGGGAAACUGCGGGGCUGGAGUAUGGGAGAGGUGAGUGGAAUUCCUGGUGUAGCGGUGAAAUGCGUAGAUAUCAGGAGGAACACCUGUGGCGAAAGCGGCUCACUGGACCAUGACUGACGCUGAGGCACGAAAGCUAGGGGAGCAAACAGGAUUAGAUACCCCCGUAGUCCCUGUCUCUUAUAC